UAGGGAAUCUUCGGCAAUGGACGAAAGUCUGACCGAGCAACGCCGCGUGAGUGAAGAAGGUUUUCGGAUCGUAAAACUCUGUUGUUAGAGAAGAACAAGGACGUUAGUAACUGAACGUCCCCUGACGGUAUCUAACCAGAAAGCCACGGCUAACUACGUGCCAGCAGCCGCGGUAAUACGUAGGUGGCAAGCGUUGUCCGGAUUUAUUGGGCGUAAAGCGAGCGCAGGCGGUUUCUUAAGUCUGAUGUGAAAGCCCCCGGCUCAACCGGGGAGGGUCAUUGGGAACUGGGAGACUUGAGUGCAGAAGAGGAGAGUGGAAUUCCAAGUGUAGCGGUGAAAUGCGUAGAUAUAUGGAGGAACACCAGUGGCGAAGGCGGCUCUCUGGUCUGUAACUGACGCUGAGGCUCGAAAGCGUGGGGAGCAAACAGG
rnacentral:rRNA from 1 species